UACGUAGGGGUGCAAGCGUUUGUCCGGAAUUAUUGGGCGUAAAGAGCUCGUAGGCGGUUUGUCGCGUCUGCUGUGAAAACUCGGGGCUCAACCUCGGGCCUGCAGUGGGUACGGGCAGACUAGAGUGCGGUAGGGGAGAUUGGAAUUCCUGGUGUAGCGGUGGAAUGCGCAGAUAUCAGGAGGAACACCAAUGGCGAAGGCAGAUCUCUGGGCCGUAACUGACGCUGAGGAGCGAAAGCAUGGGGAGCGAACAGG
rnacentral:rRNA from 1 species